AAGGUUCGGGUCUGUGGUUGAAAACCGAUGCCAGUCGCAGGCAAAACGGUCCACGUAAGCUGGGGAAAUUCCCGGUGAGCACGGUGCGGUUUAGAAGUAAGUCCGGCCGGACGACAGUCCGAGAGAGCGCAGUGGGGGCCAGUAAAGGCUAUGAGCAAAGCUCCUGCCGGCGAGUGUGGGGUCAAAAACCAGGUCAGCCAAUCCUU
rnacentral:ncRNA from 12 species